rnacentral:snRNA from 1 species
AUACUCUGGUUUCUUUUCAGAUCGUAUACAUCUUUCGCCUUUUACUAAAGAUUUCCGUGGAGAGGAACAUUUACUCAGAACAUGUUGGUCUACAGGACCUUAGUUUAAAAUUUGCUUUAAAAAUAUUU